UUGAACGCUGGCGGUAUGCUUAACACAUGCAAGUCGAACGAUGAGAAAGAGCUUGCUCUUUCGAUUAGUGGCGGACGGGUGCGUAACGCGUAGGAAUCUGCCUAUUAGUGGGGGACAACUUAGGGAAACUUAAGCUAAUACCGCAUACGCCCUACGGGGGAAAGGAGGGGAUCGCAAGACCUUUCGCUAAUAGAUGAGCCUGCGUAGGAUUAGCUAGUUGGUGGGGUAAAGGCUCACCAAGGCGACGAUCCUUAACUGGUUUGAGAGAAUGAUCAGUCACACUGGAACUGAGACACGGUCCAGACUCCUACGGGAGGCAGCAGUGGGGAAUAUUGGACAAUGGGCGAAAGCCUGAUCCAGCAAUACCGCGUGUGUGAAGAAGGCCUUAGGGUUGUAAAGCACUUUCAAUUGGAAGGAAAAAUUCGUGGCUAAUAUCCGCGAACUUGACAUUACCUUUAGAAGAAGCACCGGCUAACUCCGU
rnacentral:rRNA from 1 species